CGGUGUUUAACUGGCGUGAUGUGGGACGUCCUACCGGUGGGCUUAGCCUCGCGAGGGGCGGCCCAACUAAUAUCCCGUCGCGGUGCUCUUUACUGAGUGUCGAGUCGGGCCGGUACGUUUACUUUGAACAAAUUAGAGUGCUUAAAGCAGGCUAUCCUCGCCUGAAUACUGCGUGCAUGGAAUAAUGGAAUAGGACCUCGGUUCUAUUUUGUUGGUUUUCGGAACCCCGAGGUAAUGAUUAAUAGGGACAGAUGGGGGCAUUCGUAUUGCGACGUUAGAGGUGAAAUUCUUGGAUCGUCGCAAGACGGACAGAAGCGAAAGCAUUUGCCAAAAAUGUUUUCAUUAAUCAAGAACGAAAGUUAGAGGUUCGAAGGCGAUCAGAUACCGCCCUAGUUCUAACCAUAAACGAUGCCAGCUAGCGAUCCGCCGAAGUUCCUCCGAUGACUCGGCGGGCAGCUUCCGGGAAACCAAAGCUUUUGGGUUCCGGGGGAAGUAUGGUUGCAAAGCUGAAACUUAAAGGAAUUGACGGAAGGGCACCACCAGGAGUGGAGCCUGCGGCUUAAUUUGACUCAACACGGGAAACCUCACCAGGCCCAGACACCGGAAGGAUUGACAGAUUGAUAGCUCUUUCUUGAUUCGGUGGGUGGUGGUGCAUAGCCGUUCUUAGUUGGUGGAGCGAUUUGUCUGGUUAAUUCCGAUAACGAACGAGACUCUAGCCUGCUAAAUAGGCGUACCUUAUGGUAUCGCGAAGGCCCCCGGCUUCGGCCGGUGGGUUUUUACUACCAACGUACAAACAAAUCUUCUUAGAGGGACAGGCGG
rnacentral:rRNA from 1 species